AUUCUUACUUUAGCAUCAUAUAUACUAAAAUUGGAAUGAUACGGAGAAGAUUUGCAUGACCUCUGCACAAAGAUGACACACAAAGUUGUGAAGUGUUCCAUAUUUUU
ensembl:snRNA U6 U6 spliceosomal RNA